AAAAAAUAUGCAAUACUGAACCAUCCCUCAGAAAUACCUGUGACUUCUCAUGGGCUGUUCCCCCGACAUGUAAUGCUCUUCCAUUCUUCUCACCUCAGUGUACUCCUACUCAUGCUUCAAGACCCAACUCAAAUGCUCCCUUCUCUGUAAAGAAUUUCCUGACCUGACCUCUGAGCACUUGGCACAGAUCUCAGGUGUUGCCAUUCUGUGUUAGAGUUAUUUAAGGGUUUCCCCGGUUUUUAUUUGACCAUGAAUACCUGGAGGCAGGAAUUAGUUGAGGCUCAGGUCUAGAAUGAGAGGUAGUUUGUUGAAUGAUUACUUUGUGGAACGGGAAGCAGAAGAGAGUGGCCUAAGUUGGGUGCCAUCUUUGCAAGGGUCAAUUCUGGGGCUCUUCAUCCAGACAUGGCUGGGGUCAGUCAGCACUGACCGUGGCUUUGCUGUGUGCCUAAGCCAGGCCCGGCUGGCUGGGGGCAUGUGCAUGGCUGAGACCCCGUGACUUGUGCGAGGGUGUGCCUGUCCUAGCUCUGGGACAUCCUGGGAGGGGAAGGGACACUGGGGAAGCACUGUCAGCUGGUCCUGGGGGUACUUCUGGGAUAUGCCAACGAGCCUGCGGUUCAGGGGUCUCCCAACUCCCUGUCAUGGCUAUGGCUGCUGGUCAUGGUCAACGAAGUGAAGGCGGCUUCCCGAGGGAGCUCCGUGGUCUGCACUGACCUGACCAGCGGACCAGGCCACCCAGGCCAGCGCCGGCUAGUCAAGGGCGCCCUCUAGUGGCCGCCACAGCGGAGGCAGGAACCUGUCUCCACAAAGGCAGGGUUUUCAUGCAUUCCUGAAUACAGAACAAUUGUCACUAUGCCAAGCACAUGUCUUAACUUUAGUUAAAAUAUAUUUAUUAAUCAUCUGCUAAGCGGAGAGCUCUCUCCUGAAUGUCAGUAUGUGUUGGUGGGGAAGAGAGAAUGCAAGGUAGAGAAACAAUUACAGCAGUGAUUUGCUACCCAGUCUGCAAAGUAGAAUCACCUGGACAACUUGAAAAACUACCAACACCUGGGGCCCAUCCAGACCAAUUGAAUCUGAAUUUUUAGGGUGGGACACAGGCAUCAGUGGUUUGGACCGGGAAAAGUUAACAGGCAGCCAGGCAUGAGAACCACUGGUUUGGAGAGUUGACUAACAUAUUUCCCAUCCAUCAUUCUUAUCCAGCUGCCGAGGCAGGCGCUGUUCUCCCAUUUCACAGAUGAGGAGUCUGAGGCUCAAGUGACGCUACUUCUUUCUCUCUUUCAGUUAAGGACAGCAAUGGUACAGCGGGGAAGCAGCAAAUACUUCUACAAGGCUGUCUCAAGGCUGUAUCAUGAGAGUCUCUGUCUAAGAAGAGACUCUCAUGAUAACAAUAGCUUUAUUGUUUGCUGUGAUUAGAAAAGUACCCAAGGUCGUUGUGAAAUAGGGUCCCCCCCAGGAAAAUAAUUAUAAAGGCAAGAGUGGUGUGUACAAGAAUCACCUGCAAUCUCAGCAUGGCUAACAGUAUGUCUGAGAGCAAGCAGGGUAAGGAGAGGUGGGAGAGAGGAGGGGGAGAAUGGAUUUAUUUUAAGGCUCAGGGUCAUAUUGCAAAUCAGGGCUUCUGAACUAUGGUCCUAAGACGAGUCACAUCAAAACCCCCUGCCCUGCUUGAUAAAAAAGCAACAUCCCCAAGGCCACAGUAUCAGACUCUUGAGGAAGAUCCUGAGAAGGUGCACAUUUGAUAAACAUUCUGGGUGAUUCUUGCAUCCCCGAAAGAACAAGAACUACCACCACUUGGAGCUCUGCUCUUUUCAUUUAACAGUACAAGGUGAGCAUGUCAGUAGAAACCCAUCACUUCCAGAAGCUUAGGAGAGCCCUUGAGUACGGACUGAUGUGUUCAAAUGUAUUGAACCAGCUGCUGAGAUUUCAACCAGCUGCCCUUGGGGGUCUGGGCACACACCCCAUUUCGCACCGGCUGGCUAGGAGCCAGCAGCACAAACACCAGGGCUGCUCUGGCACCCUCCACCGGAAGGGGCCCUAGCACACCAACCCCCUGUCCACCUUCUUCCAUAGCUUGCAGCAACCUAUUAAUGGGUCCUGUCAACCAAUCACAGGCAGAAUAACCCAUGAUGUCACCAGCGGCCAAUCAGAGCUCCUGACCAGCAUAUGCAGAAUUCUGUCACUCUUACUGAGGUGAUGAAAUCCCAGAGCAACACCAUCCAAGACCCCGGGGCCUGGGCAGAGGCUCCCCCUUCCUGGGUAGCUCCUGGCACAGGUGUUGAAGCCCAGUUAAAACCACGCCCCCCACCCAAUUCUCCCUGCAAGACCUCAAAAGUCAGAAUACUGGUGGAGAAGAUCCAUCAACCUCUGGAUUUUAGGGCCAUGGUAGAGGGGUGUUGCCCUAAAUUCCAGCCUUGGUGGCAGCCCAGCACCCCCCAGGAAGGAAUUAGAGGGGCCCUGGCCAGGCUGUGCUGGUUGUUCCUUAUGAGCAGAUUAUGAGAAGGGACCAAGACAAGGGCUCCUUUGUGGAGGUCCUGGCUUAGGGAAUCAAGUGACUGCUCAGCACACACGUGGGCAGUGCCAGCCUCUAAGUGUGGACAGGGCACUGGCCACAGAGUCCCAGAGAGUCCCACCAGCCUAGUGGCCAGACCUUCCGUGGGAUCGCCAGACCAGACUGGAACCCCACUGACCCGAGCCCACCUGCUGCAGCCCAGUGCCUGGCCAUGACCAUCACCUACACAAGCCAAGUGGCUAAUGCCCGCUUGGGCUGCUUCUCCCGCCUGCUGCUGUGCUGGCGGGGCAGCAUCUACAAGCUGCUGUACGGCGAGUUCCUCAUCUUCUUGAUCUGCUACUACACUAUCCGCUUCCUUUACAGGCUGGCCCUCACAGAGGAACAGCAGCUGCUGUUCGAGAAGCUGACUCUGUACUGCGACAGCUACAUCCAGCUCAUCCCCAUUUCCUUCGUGCUGGGCUUCUACGUGACGCUGGUCGUGACCCGCUGGUGGAACCAGUACGAGAACCUGCCGUGGCCCGACCGCCUCAUGAGCCUGGUGUCGGGCUUCGUGGAGGGCAAGGACGAGCACGGGCGGCUGCUGCGGCGCACGCUCAUCCGCUACGCCAACCUGGGCAACGUGCUCAUCCUGCGCAGCAUCAGCACCGCCGUCUACAAGCGCUUUCCCAGCCUCCAGCACUUGGUGCAAGCAGGCUUUAUGACCCCCGUUGAACACAAGCGGUUCGAAAAAUUGAGCUUACCACACAACAUGUUCUGGGUGCCCUGGGUGUGGUUUGCCAACCUGACAAUGAAGGCCUGGCUUGACGGCCGAAUCCGGGACUCUAUUCUGCUCCAGAGCCUGCUAAACGAAAUGAACACCCUGCGUACUCAGUGUGGACACCUGUAUGCCUACGACUGGAUCAGUGUCCCAUUGGUGUACACACAGGUGGUGACUGUGGCAGUGUACAGCUUCUUCCUGGCUUGCCUUGUUGGGCGGCAGUUUCUGAACCCGGCCAAGUCCUACCCUGGCCACGAGCUGGACCUGGUCGUGCCCCUCUUCACAUUCCUACAGUUCUUCUUCUAUGUUGGCUGGCUGAAGGUGGCAGAGCAGCUCAUCAACCCUUUUGGAGAGGAUGAUGAUGAUUUUGAGACCAACUGGAUUGUCGACAGGAACUUACAGGUGUCCCUGUUGGCUGUGGAUGAGAUGCACCAGGAUCUGCCUCGGAUAGAGCGGGACAUGUAUUGGAAUGAGCCAGAACCACAGCCUCCCUACACAGCUGCUUCCGCCCAUUUCCGCCGACCCGCCUUUAUGGGCUCCACCUUCAACAUCAGCCUGCCCCAAGAAGAUAUGGAGUUCCAACCGAAUCAGGAGGAGGACGAGGACGAUGCUCACGCUGGCAUUAUAGUCCGCUUCCUAGGGCGGCAGUCCCAUGACCACUAUCCUCCCAGGACAAACUCAAAGACCAAACUACUAUGGCCCAAGGAGUCCUUUCUCCAUGAGGGCCAGCCCAAGAACCCCAAGGGGGCCAAACAGAACCUUAACGGCCAGGAAGACAGCAAGGCCUGGAAGCUUAAGGCGGUGGACACCUUCAAGUCCGCUCCACUGUAUCAGAGGCCAGGCUACUACAGUGCCCCCCAGACGCCCCUCAGCCCCACACCCAUGGUCUUCCCCCCUGAACAAUCAGAACCCCGAGGGCUUCACAGUGUUGCAGGCAUAGAUACCAAAGAUAAAAGCCUAAAGCUUGAGACUUCAGGGGACAAGAACAGUUUUGAAUUGCUUUCAGAAGGUGAUAAGGCCUUGGUGGAGCAACCAGAAGCAUCUCGUGUGAGGAGAAAAACUGUGGAGUUUAACCUGACAGAUAUGCCGGAAAUCCCUGAACAUCUCAAAGAACCACAUUUGGACCAGUCAGCAACCAACAUACACACUAUUCUCAAAGAUCGUGCGGAUCCUUACUGGGCCUUGGAAAACAGAUUCCUUGGACAUUUUCACCCAACUGGAAACACUCUACCUCACCUCAAAUCAUAAUGUGGGGAGGAAGUGUAACUUCCCAUUUCUAGUUUUCAAGAAGUUACUUUUGUGGUCAGAACACAGCUAUCGUGAUUGAAAACUUGAAGGAGCAACAAUUUCAGUCUUGCUUCUUCAGCUAGACAGGAACUUUGGAUGAAGCACAUUCCUAACCUGCUUCCUAAGGGGGACACUUCACCGGCCUGGUCCUCACCUGCAUGUACACUAACAGGACACUGAUCCGGUCACAGCCAUACAGCUGUCCACACUGAAGAGUAUGUUCCUCCGACAGCCUGAAUUAAACGGUUAGCUAAAUGGUUAACAAAAAUCAGUAGUCCAGGACUACUUCAGCCUUUAAAUGCCUUUUAUACAUAAAAACUGUGAAAGCUAGAAUACAUGCAAUUCAGAAUCAGGAGUCCUACAGGAGUCCUUAGUCCUGGUCUGAAUUCAACACAGCCACACCUUUGUUUAUCUUUUUCAAACUAGAAGAGUUUAAUAAAUACAAAUAUUCUCCUAA